rnacentral:rRNA from 1 species
GACGAACGCUGGCGGCGUGCUUAACACAUGCAAGUCGAGCGGUAAGGCCCUUUCGGGGGUACACGAGCGGCGAACGGGUGAGUAACACGUGGGUGACCUGCCCUCAGCUCUGGGAUAAGCCUGGGAAACUGGGUCUAAUACUGGAUAUGACUCCACGGUGCAUGUCGUGGGGUGGAAAGCCUUGUGCGGCUGAGGAUGGGCCCGCGGCCUAUCAGCUUGUUGGUGGGGUGANGGCCUACCAAGGCGACGACGGGUAGCCGGCCUGAGAGGGCGACCGGCCACACUGGGACUGAGACACGGCCCAGACUCCUACGGGAGGCAGCAGCGGGGAAUCUUGCGCAAUGGGCGAAAGCCUGACGCAGCGACGCCGCGUGAGGGAUGACGGCCUCGG